GGCGGGGCCUGCGGCGGCUGCAGGUCCGCGGCCGGACGGUAGAGGCCUCCCUUCCGAGGCGGCGGCGCGGGCGCUGCCCGUUGGGGUCCGCUCCCCGGCGCGAACCCGCGCGUCCUUGCCGACGAGAUCCCCGCGCCACCCGGCGCAGUGUCAGCUGUCUCCAAUCCUGAGGUCGUCACUUGUCAAGAGGGGAUAAUCCCAAGGACAGCAGGAUCUGCUUCGUCACUUGGAUUUAGCAGUGAGAAACCCAUCAGGCCACUAAACAGUAACAAUGACCCACCAUUAAACACCCUGAGAGAAGAGCAUGAUGAGAAGAUUGUACAAGAAGAAUCCAGGAGCUUUUGCUGACAACGCCUAUGGAGACCCUGGCCACUGUGAGCUCCGCCCAUUGAACUGUAAUAAAAAAUCUCCGCCUCCCCAGAGAUGCUUGGAUGUGGGCACAAUAUUAAUUCAGACAAUGGUUUCUGCAUGGAUGUAGAGUGAAAAGAAUUUGGACUGUGGGGGUCAGACAGACCUGGCUUUGAAUUGUUAUUCUGUCACAUUUUUUGUUUUUGGGGAGGAAGAUUGUCACUGAGCUAACAUCUCUGCCAAUCUUCUUCUAUUUUUUCCGUAUGUGGGAUGCUGCCACAGCAUGGUUUGACAAGCAGUGUAUAGGUCCACACCCAGGAUCCAAACCUGCAAAACCUGGGCCGCAGAAGCUGAGCACGCGAACCCAACCACUACACCACCGGACCAGCCCCUCUGCCACUUCUUUGUAGUAUGCUUUGGUAACAUUUAAAAAUCCCUCUGAGCCUCAGUUAUCUUGUCUGCAAAAUGGAGCUAAUGCCUACACAGGGGCUUUUAAGAGGAUCAAGUGCACCAGUGUUUGAAAUGCACACACUGGGUACUUCUCUUUACGGAAAAAGAGCAAGAUGUGGGGCCAAAAAGGAACUAGUACAACAAAAGCUAUUCUCAAAAUUAUCCUUUGUCCUAGGCUCUUAACCUCAGAACGUGUGCUUAUUUCUGUAGCUCAGAUACCAAGGGAAAAGAGAGAGAGAGAGAGAGAGAGAAAGGCAGGAAGUCAAAUUCUGGCUCUCACACAAGAAAAUUCACUCUUGAUAAUUUUCAGACAGUGUUGCUCUCCUUCCUCAAACUCUGGCACCACAGGCAUUAUGCCAAAGAAGUCAGCAGCCUGGCAGAUAUUUCAAAUUGAUUCUGAGAGCAAACGACAGGCCAUUUGUGCCAUAUGCCACUGACACGUUAAUCUAGGCAAGGAUGCUAGGCACCUGGGGACAUCCAUGCUGAAAUGCCAUUUAGGCAGGGCACACCAACUCCAGUGGCAGGAGUUCAUCAGUGCAAACAGUGAGGGCGGCCAAGAAGAUGGAAGUGGAAAGGAGGAGUGAGAGGGAGGCACAGUGUCUAAGCCUGGAGAGAUUUUCUGAGUUGCAGACAGUUCAUUAUGCUUCUAGGAGAGCUGCAGAUUCAACAGAACAUCCAAACUGGGUAUUUACAGACUGGACAAAUGAGUGUCUGCUACUUUUGCACCUAUUAUACUACGUGGCCACCAACCCCGUGAACCUUCUCUCCAUUGGCAAAUACUGAGCGAUGCUCCAGUCCACUGGAAUGACCUUCUUUAUCCUGCAGUUUCACCGUAAAAAGCAAGCAGCUGCUGAGCGAUUCUAGGAGAUGCCCCAGUGUCAGACUUUCCAGGAUCCAAUUUGGUGGAAGCACUCUGGGCCUUUGGUCUCCAUCUCCCCUUUGCCCAGCCUUGUUCCUUGGUUACUGUGAGCAGUAACGAGCUUCCCCACCCCAGCGUGAGGACAGGCUCACAGCCAGCACAUGAAAAAGGCUGAGCUCGUGUGGGGCAACUACUUUAUUUCAUGGGCAGAUCACACAUCUCUUCUUUUCCUUCUUCUGUGAUGCAACUACACUAAUGAUUUUUUGUUUUUAAGUAGGAAUGAGGCAGUACUAUGGCUUUCUGGGGAAAAAAAGUCCACAGCAGGAUAACUGCAGCAGAUAUCAGAAAAGAAGCUCAGAACGAGAUGCCCGUCCGCUCUCGUCGUUGGCCCGAAUGAUUUUCCAGGAGCAAAAGGAUCAUUCUAAUUUAGGGGAUCUUAAUAAACAAAUAGAAUCACUGCCUUAAUUAUUUUCUUCUAGGCAAAAGAAACUUUAAAAAAUCAGCUCUUCCUGUUAACGUCAGUUAUUUUCCAUAAUCCGAAGAAUCUGAAAGAUCAUAAAAAUAAGACUAGGCCACCAGAGAAUGUAGGCAUCCCCCAGCGUUCUCCAUGGCGAGUAAUUCAGAGUUGUCCUUGUUGAGCGUGGGCCCUGGAAUCAGCCCUUGAUUGAAAUCCAGAGCUCUGUCCCUUCCUCACUGAGGACCAUUGGCGAGAUCCCGCCCCUCGAGCCUGUCUCCUCGUCUGUAAGCCUGCACAGAGUAACUCCAUCUUCCAGGGUUAUUAUGAGGAUUAAAAGAGAAGAUGUGUAGGUAGCAAGGAGCACACUUUCUGGCACGUGGUCAGGGUAUCUACAUUAAAGUGACAGGCCUGAUCUUGGGAACCACAUGUCACUUAAUUUUCAAUGGAGAGACGUUAUUUCUAUGAAUUCUUAGCAGAGACUAAAUAGAUGUUUUAACCCGCAAAUCACAGACGUUUUCUGAGCCUUCACCACUAGACCCAUUGGACUGUGUUAUGCAUUAUAAAAGAUUUGUAAGCAGUAGAAGAGUUGGGUUUUUGCUCAGGAGUAGCUUAAAGUCAGCCCUGAAGAACCGUAACCCCACUCUUAAUCCAAGACCUACACCACCAGCCUUUGCUGUACGCACCCAGGAAACCCAUCUUAAAUGAGAUGUAAACACUCAAGUGCAGGAUUCUCUUAACGGGUGUCCCUGCACUCGCCCCUGACCCCUACAGCCGACUCCUGGAGCACCGGGAGCUCUACAUAAGGGAAAGAAUUACAGAAGAGCAACAGGAUGACUGACGUCACAACAAAAAGAAACCACAGCUAUUCCAAGAGGUGCUCAUCUUCAGCAGGCUUCACCCAAGAUCUAUGAUUUGGGACCUGUUUAACCUCCAAAAAGCUCAAAGCACUUCACAAAUUUACUUGAGUCAUAGUAUGUUAGCAAAGUGUCAGAAGGGUAGUUAUUCUCCUCUUCUUUUUUUACAGAUCAACACAAAAAAGUGAAAUGUCAACUUGACCUUGAACUCAUUUUUCCUGGGUCUUAGCCUGAUUUCUCCUUCGAGCCCACUUUGUCUUAAGGAGACAUGGAUACACAUGUCCCUUUCCAUAUUUAUUCAGAUUAUUCUUAGGGACAAAGAGUCUUUUAUCUAAAUCCAGCACUGUAAUAACUGUUGAAAAAAAUUAGGUCAUACUAUGCACCUGAAGAUCUGGUGUGGAGAUAGAGAUGUAGGAGGGGGAAAAGCUAAAUAUGUAUGAAAAUGAUCUGUGUCUGAACUUCACAGAUGAGGAAACUGAGGCUAAGAUCACAUAUCGACUUUUAUUUUUUCCUGCAUAGGGCAUCUCUUUCAAGAAAUAAAAAUGUAUUACAAUAUGAAGUCAAUUUCAUUGAACACAUUUUCUUUUAAAAUAUACAUGAUCUCUGUUA
ensembl:lncRNA